UACCCGUGUACAAAUGGGACGUUCCCAAUUCCAGUGUGGUGCUAUUUUUACCAUCUUAUACUUUACACAGCUCUAUGCCUAACGUGAAUUAAAUAGGAAAGCAAACAUAGCAGAUUAUUCAUGAACUGUGCGAUAUGUGUAUGGCUUGUUGUACAUUCUUAAUAUUUAAGUUAAAUGUCAAAAGUAUAUGCUUUGGUUAUAAACAAUGCACAUUACACUAAAUAAUGUCAUAUGACUAGAUUUAAAGGUUGAAGGUCGUAUAAUUUUGAAGCUCAAGUUUUGUCGACUUUGUUUCUUAUGAAAAAUCAUUCAGUGGUAAAGUAAAUAUACAUAAAAAAAUAACAAAACAAAAAUCGUGUAAUUUGAUAUUUUAUUUCAACAUUUCUUUUGGUGAAUAUAUCAUAUAUAUUUUUUUCUGCAAAAUAUGCACAUUUUCUUUUCAUGGGUGACCUUAAAAUUCGAUCAAUGAACCAAACAAUUUCGACCUAAUUUUAGCGCAUAUCGCAUGACGUCAUUUAAAAAGUAGUCCGUGCACGCGACAGGUAUAUUCCACAGUGUUGAAUACAAGCAAGUAUAUUCCACAACGUGUUAUACCGUCAAUGUCGCGGUGAAAAUGGGAUAAAUUCCGUGACAGCAUCUGGAAAUUUCCAAACGGAUAUUUAUAAAGUACUAGUUCCACACUCAUAUGUGCAUGUCAAUUCGCAAAAGGCGAGAGCCGGGACCAUGCAGCAAGGUGCUCGCAUAUGUUAGAGGUCAAUUGUCUUCAAUGUAAACAGCAUUGCGAAGCGAAAAUAACGUUGCCGUAUAAUUGUUUUCAGGUACCUCAGAUGAGCAGGAGACUGCUGAACCUGAUAAUGUCGUAGACUUUGACGCAGAAACUCAACAAAUCAAUUAUCAAUACUGUAAAGAUGACAAGAGUGAUAACUGUUCAGAUUGUCAGGAGGAAGGAGACAAUGAGAAGAAGAUGAUCAAUUAUUUGAAUUCCAAUCUCUAUUCCGAUAUCUGAUAAUAUCUAGUAAUAUAUAGUAACAUACUUGUUUUAUGAUAUUACUAGAUAGUACAUACUUGAUAUAUGUCAUUAUGAUAUAAAUAAAUACUAUGUGUAACCGUCA